UUUUUGUGUUUUUUUUGAGACAGAUUCUUGUUUGUCGCCCAGGCUGGAGUGCAGUCGUGUGAUCUCUGCUCACUGCAACCUCCGCCUCCCGAGUUCAAAUGAUUCUCCCACCUCAGCCUCUCAAGUAGCUGGGAUUACAGAUGUGCACCACCACACCUUGCUAUUUUUUUUUUUUUGCAUUUUUAGUAGGGGUGGGGUUUCACCAUGUUGACCAGGCUGGUCUCGAACUCCUGACCUUAAGUGAUCCACCUGCCUCGGCCUUCCAAAGUGUUGGGAUUACAGGCGUGAGCAACCGCGCCUGACCUAAUAAGUCAAUUCUUAAACACCAAAAUGUUUGACUGAGCACAUGAAGAAGGUUUCUCUUAGAAAAGAAAAAGAAAUGUAAUAUGAUUACUUCGAUAAUCAGAUAAACAGUUCUGCUGCCUUUUCAAAAGCCAGCGUACAGUGAGCUCUGCUUCAUUUGUUCUCAAAUUAGCUACUUGCCUCUUGUUCAUCUCAGGAGACAACAAGAACCUAGGCAAUUGGAUGGGGUUGGGCUGAAGGAAGGACCAGGAGUUCUACAGGGCAAGGCACGCUGUGGAGGGAGGUCUGCUGAUACUUAGCUUGGUGGUAAAACUGGCAGUGAGCAUUACAGGUGGAGAGUGAGAAAACAGUGAAAGAAGAGCAAGAACAAAGAGGUGCUUCAAGAAUUUUGCUACCCAACUUCUCAUGCAUGGCCAUUGGCCUGGAUAAAAAUGAAGAUGCUGUGACCACUCUUCAGGGCUGGCUCCAGAAGGAAGAGGAGUGGCCAAGUAGCUAGUCUGUGCUAAUGGAUUGCUUAGAGCAACACAUUCUCACCACUGAAUAACUUGUUUUUCUUGUAAUUUCACCACGAGAAGUUUCACUUCCUCUUGAGAUGCCUACUAAAAUCACAUUUUCCUAGGAGUCAAGUAUUUACCUUGACGGGUUACUUUGGCUUCAUUUUUUAUAUAUGUUAGAAUAAAUAGUGCUGAA
rnacentral:lncRNA from 1 species